GAGUUCCUUACUGAGAGCUAGACAACCAGGUGAGGGGAGUUCCUUACUGAGACCUAGACGACCAGGUGAGGGGAGUUCCUUACUGAGACCUAGACGACCAGGUGAGGGGAGUUCCUUACUGAGACCUAGACAACCAGGUGAG